rnacentral:rRNA from 1 species
GUAAGAUCCCCUGAAGAAGACAGGGUGGAUAGGCUGGGUGUGUAAGCAUGGUGACAUGUUGAGCUGACCAGUACUAAUCGAUCGAGGGCUUAAUCG